rnacentral:rRNA from 1 species
AGCGAACGCUGGCGGCAGGCUUAACACAUGCAAGUCGAGCGGGCACUUUCUGGUGUCUGCGGCGUACGGGUGAGUAACGCGUGGGAACGUGCCCUCUGGUUCGGAAUAACUCAGGGAAACUGGAGCUAAUACCGGAUACGCCCUUUUGGGGGAAGGCUUGCUGCCGGAGGAUCGGCCCGCAUCUGAUUAGCUAGUUGGUGAGGUAACGGCGCACCAAGGCGACGAGAAGUAGCGGGGCUGAGAGGAUGAGCAGCCACACUGGGACUGAGACACGGCCCAGAAUACUACGGGAGGCAGCAGUGGGGAAUAUUGGACAAUGGGCGCAAGCCUGAUCCAGCCAUGCCGCGUGAGUGAUGAAGGCCUUAGGGUUGUAAAGCUCUUUUAUCCGGGACGAUAAUGACGGUACCGGAGGAAUAAGCCCCGGCUAACUUCGUG